UCUAAUACCGGAUACGACCACUUCAGGCAUCUGAUGGUGGUGGAAAGCUCCGGCGGUGCAGGAUGAGCCCGCGGCCUAUCAGCUAGUUGGUGAGGUAACGGCUCACCAAGGCGACGACGGG
rnacentral:rRNA from 1 species